CCAGCUGUGGGACGUGCAGAGGAAGGAAGUACAGGACGAGCUACAGCUCGGGCCUCCGCGGGUGGCUGUGAGCAUCAUGCAACCUCAUAGAUGCAGGCCGCUGGGUGUGGCACCUGGCACAGAGUGCGCGCUCGGUUCAGGUUGCUUAGCACUGCUGUUAUUCUCUUUAUGUGGUCCGUUUCCCCAUGACACACAAGACAGAAACAGCAGCCUCUUCGAAGGAGGAGGAUCAGCUUAACGAGAUAGACCUAUGUACAUCGAGAAGGAAAAAAAGAAAAAAAGAAGAAUCUAUUGUGAUUUUUAAUUGGAAUUGCAUGGAAUUUAGAGAUUGAUCUGGGGGAAAUGAAUGUGUUUCUGAUGGUGGAUAUACCCAUCUACGAAUAUUUUAUGUAUAUUCACAGAGAGAGAGAGAGGCAGAGACACAGGCAGAGGGAGAAGCAGGCUCCAUGCACCGGGAGCCCGACGUGGGAUUCGAUCCCGGGUCUCCAGGAUGGCGCCAAACCGCUGAGCCACCCAGGGAUCCCCUCUAAUGACCUUUUAAAUACCUACCUUAAGGUCCCCGGGUGGCUCAGCCGGUUGGGCAACUGACUCUUGAUUUCAGCCUGGGUCAUGAUCUCAGGGUCGUGGGAUUGAGCCCAAGUUGGGCUCCCUGCCCUGUGGGGAGUCGGCUUGAGGAUUCUUCCUCUCCCUCCCCUCCGCUCCUGCUUGCAUGUGCACCUAAUUUCUCUCUAUAUAUAAUGGGUAAAGAAAUCUUUAAAUAAAUACCUACCUUAGCUUAUCUUACAUUAAUGACAGUACUUUUAUUUGUUCAGUUCUAAGUAUUUUCUAAUUUGUAUUGUGAUUUCUUCUUAAGUCCAUGAUUUAGAAGUAUUUCAGACAUGAAUUUUAAAAAUCACUUAUUUAAUCUUCUACUUUUAAUUAAUUAUAUUAAAAAAAUAUGAUCUACCAGAUGUCAGUUCUUUCUUACUAGCCGAGAUUUACUUUGUGGUGUCAUGUGAAGCAAAAUUUUCUAAACAUUCCAUUUGCACUUGAGUAGAAUUUUUGUAUCUUAAUUGGCAAAUGCAGUGUACUGGAUAGGUUUCCCAAAUUUUCUAUAUCCCUAUAGAUUUGUUUUUAACAGCUUUAAUGAGGUAUAAUUUAAAUGCUAUAAAAUUCAAUGAUUUAAAAUUGCAUAAUUCAAUGAUUUUUAGUAAAUUUAUAAAUUGUGCAAACAUCACUACAGUAAUUUUAGAACAUUUCACCUUAAAAAGAUCUCUCCAGUCUGUUUGUAAUAAUCCCUGUUCCCAUCCUUAUUGAUUUGUGUAGGCUUGGUCCACCAGUUUCAGAGAGGCAUGAAUAUGAGAUGGCUUUGUCAAAUUUGUCUUUGUAAUACUGUAAAUUUUCACUUUUCACAUUUUAUAGCUAUUUUAUUAAAUACAUACAAGUUUAAAAUUGUCAUAUUUUGUAGACAAAUUGUUCAUUUGAUCAUUAUAUUGUAUCCAUCUCUAAAAAUUCCUUUUGUCUUAAGGCCAGUUUUGUUUGCUGUUACUCUAGCUACAACAACCUUCUUUGGGUUAAUAUUUACUUGAUAUAUCUUUUCCAUCACAUUAAUUUAAAUGUUCAUGUCUAUAAAUUAUAUGUAUAUCUGCUGGAAUCAAGACAUGUUGUAUUUAGUCUUUCUGUCUAAUCUGAUAAUCUCAGUCUUUUAAGAGGGAAGGUAAUACAUUUACAUUCAGUGUGACUGUUGCCAUAUUUGCUUUAUUUUUUUUUAAGAUUUUAUUUAUUUAUUCAUAGAGACACAGAGAGAGAGAGAGGCAGAGACACAGGCAGAGGGAGAA